AUUUUCCAUAUAGUUUUUGUCCUAUUUCUGAUCUUAAAAAAAUGAAAAUAUUUCUGAUCUUAAAAAAAUGAAAACACAAAAGAAUCCAUUUUUCAGAACGUUAUUGUAGCCUGAACAAUCUAUUUUCCCUCCUUUUUUGUAACUUCAUCUUUAUUUUCUCCCUAUCUCCCCUUUUUUGUGUAUCCGCCAAGAAAGAGAGUUUUCAUUUACCAAAAAAAGAAAAAAGAAAAAGAUAGAGAGUUUUCAUUGGCAGAAUAGCCACUGUCAGAUGACACUAUUGCACAAGUAAUCUUUCAUCUGUAAUCGUCCCAGCGUUGUCUGGUGUUUUCUCUCAGUUGGAUUCUGGUGUUUUAUCUUCCCUCUGGUUUCAUUGUUAUUACUACCAUUUCCCUUUCAUCAAGACCACAGCCAUCCCAUUCCCAAUCUGUUAUUGCUUCAAGCCAUCUUGAUCUAUCAAUCCCCCAGCUCCUUGGCCUCUCAGUUCCAGUUAAUACAAGCCUCGAUUCUGUAAAACCCCUUUUUAGCAUAGAACUUCAUCAUCCCCAAACGUGUACAGCAGUUUUCACCUGAAUCUUCCAUCUUAUUGAUCUCGCAAACAGAUUUCCAGUAGCGGUAGUUAGCGGAGGCUCUGCCCAUUUGAGGUCCGGAAGGAGGAAAGCGAGAAGAAAGGUUCUGUUCUGCGGAUAUGGAGAAGUUUCUGCCGCCGCCGCCAUCUUCAACGUCUUGAAUCUUUGAUGCUGCUAGGGCUCACAGCUGCCUCUCCAAUUGUGAAUGGCCCAUCAACGGCUAGGAGAGAUGAUUCCAAUCUAAUGGACCAGGAUGAACCAGGCUAAAGGUGAACCAAUCCAACCUGAAUCCGGUUUGACCCAGGUGACUUUCAUUCUAUUCUUUCUUGGCAUGAAAAGGAGGCGGGUAACAAGAGGGGCCUUAGUGGUAUUCAUCAGUUCCAAGACAUGCUGAAUUAUUGCCAUCUUAUGGACCUUGAUUCUAAUGAUACAACAUUUACUUGGAGCAAUAAAAGGCCUUUCAAACAUUAGAGUCAAGCUUGAUUGAGCCUUCUCUAACAUAGCUUGGAUGAGCAAUUAUGCAAUUGUGACAGUUUUUGUACGUCCGGCCAUAGGUUCAGAUUGCUCUACUAUCAUUGUUGACUCGAAUGGCAGUAAAUCAUCUGGUCCAAGGCCAUUCCAAUUUGAGUCAAUGUGGCUUCAUCAUUUUCAAUACAAGCUCACUGUGACAAAGACUUGGGCCUAUCAAGUAGAUGGCUCAGCAGCUAGAAAAAUUUAUCGUAAGAUGAAGAAUUGUCGAGGCACUCUUAAGACCUGGAAUAAGGAGGUUUGGGUAAUGUUCAAACCAAGACCAGACUUCGCAAGCAAGAUCUAGAGCACCUCCAAGGCCUACCAUUGUCGAUUGCUUUGUAGGAGCAUGAGAAUGAAGUCUCAUGGCUGUUGGCCUGGGGAAUUGCUAGAGAAGAGAUGUGGCAUCAAAAGUCCAUAAUUUCUUGGCAAAUAAGUAACCAAAUCAAAAGAUGCAAGCGCUAAACCCAUUGCCCAACUGCAUCACCUACGUGAUCUGUCCACGUGUAGAGCUAGGUAUAUUGAAGCUACAUGUGAUGGGGGUGUUAAGAUGUUGGGAGUUAUAGAGGUGUAGUCUCACAUCAGUUAAGUUCGGUCCUUGGUGCGUUUAUAUACUUGGGGAGCUAUCUUCACCUUAUGCCUUAAGGUUUUCAGUUGUACCCCCUAACAAAGAGAACUCAAUAAAACCUAUUUGUGUCUUAUUUCUGAAGUGCCAAAGCCAAACCCUAAAAUGGUUGAUUAAUUUCGCCCCAUUGGUCUGUGUGGAGUUUCCUUUAAAGUGAUUACUAAAAUCAUGGCAGAUAGGUUGAAAGGAGCUUUUGAUGAUAUUAUCUCACUGGUUUAAUCAACAUUUGCCACAGACAAGUUGAUUUAUUAUAAUAUCUUUAUUGCUUAUGAGAUGCUUCAUUACAUUGAAGGAGGAAGGAAGGAAAGAAAAAGUUUCUUGCUGUCAAGCUCAAUAUGAAGAAGGCAUGCGAUUGGUUAGAAUAGUUUUAUAUUGACAAGUUGCUUUAAGAGGUUGUUUCCAAGUUUUGAACCUGUCUCCAAGGUGGCAUCUCUUGCAGAUACUUUUUCCCUAAUCUUACGGGUAUCUCGAGAGAAUUCUUAUGAUUCUACCCCAAUGGAAAACUCCGCACUUGCAGCAUAGAGUAAUAAUCGUGGAGCUUCAUAUGGUGGUAGCAAGGGGCAAUUUAUUGGAAACUCUUCAGAUAGUUCAGGGGCAAUACACUCAUGCCACCAUUGUGGUAAACCAGGAUGCAUCCAACGUUUCUAUUGGAAACUUCAUGGCAAACCUUCUCAGAAGCAAUUUGCUAAUUCGGUUACAGUUGAACAUUCUCAGUCUGGACAAUCUGAGGGUAAGAUGGUUAAGAUGAUCGAUGAAGAAUUUGCACGGUACAACCAGUUUUAGGCUCAAGCUCCUCAGCAUUCCAUUGCUACUUCUGUUUAGACAGGAUCUUAUGACGAAGGAGAUGUUUGGUAGAGGUUGUAAAGUUGGGGGCUGUACCUUUUAUAAGAUAAUUUCAUAGCCUUUUGGGGUAUUCUGACUCCUCAUCAGGUUCACUAUUGUUGGGACCAUCCAUAUUUACAAAGUUUACAGAAGCUUGAUCCUAGUUUUAAUUCUCUUUCUAGUUUAGAAUGUGAGUCAUGUUAAUUUGGAAAACUACAUCUGUCUGUUAUUUGCCUUGAGUUAAUAAAUGGAUGCGUACCCUUUUGCUUUCAUUCACUCAGUUGUAGGGGGUCCUUGUCCUGUAACAUCCAAGUUAGGUUUUCAGUAUUUCGUUACCUUUGUUGAUGACUAUUCCAGAGUGACUUGUAUUUAUUUAAUGAAUUUGAGUUGUUUACUA